rnacentral:lncRNA from 1 species
GCUUUGUUAUGCUAUAGAUCUAGAGUCAAGACAGUGCAUAAUGUGACCUUUUAAAGUAGGUGAAAUACACAUGAGCCAUAAUAAGAACAAGUCCUAUUGCCGUUGGUCGUAGCAAUCUAAGAAAGGAUUCUACAUUCAGGGUGAAUCCUAUCACGCACAUCAGCAGCAGACAGCUUAUUAUUACCAUAGAAACCCAUCGAACAGCAAAAAUAAUCUUUGCGUUUCUAAGCCCGUCCGGAAUAUUAGUUGGCAAUUUUGUUUGAGAUGAAGAUACGCUGAUGGAAAAUCAUUGUUCAUUGAAUAUGAUGACGUCAUUUCACUACCAACCACAUUCCUUUCCUUGGUUUGAUAACUGGACUCUUUUGUCCAUGUUUGGUCCGAUUCGUUAGGAGGAGCCUCGUUCCCAUAGUACCAAGCUACUUGGAAACUGUUGACGUAUGCUACACUGCUUGCAAAAUAGCACAUGAUGACAUACUGAAUAGGC